UGUAUUUCUGUUAACAUAUCUAUAUGUGUAAAAGAAAAUAUCGAAAGAUUAGGAUGUCACAAUGACCCUAUGUCGCCGUUUGAUCAACUCCCCUGUUGUCGUUGUGGUCCUGGGCCUCUCUCGUGUUGUCCGAGUCCGGUACCUGUUGCGGAUUUACCUCGCGUUGUUACCGCAUCACUGUUGUCUGGUCGGUUGCCGCUUGUGAUUCGUCCGUUGCGGUCUUUUCAUACGCGUUGAUUUCCCUUUCGAUGGGGCGCUCCGGUUGGCUACAAAGUCCGUUCUGGGGCUCCAUCAUGAUCGUAAUCUCGUUUGCUACGGGGGGCUCGUCUCCGACCAAGUGCCAAGUCGCAUCUGGUCAACUGCACAGCUGGAAAUUUGUCCAGCGGUUGCAGGGGGAGAACCUAGUUUUCUUUUUUUUGUGUUUUUUGGUUCCGUUUAAAGUGGACACGGAGUAGGGGCUAAGAAUAUUCACCCACAGUGGAUUUUUUUAUUUUUUUUUGUUUUUGUUUGCCGCGUCUCCUCUCUGUCGCUACUUGGCCCCCCCCCCCCGUCCUAUUUGUGUGUAUUAUACGUAUAUUUGCUAUAUUGUUUUUGAAUGUACCGGCAAUUAACUGGGGGUAACUCCCAAAAAAGCCCACUUAAUAAAGGGUAACCCCAUAAAGAGAGUUCUUCGUUUAUACCCUGGAACGGAAUUGUUUGUCCUGCAAUAGUACCCGGGUGGAGAGAGGUAAAGGCUGAGCGGUAAUGGCGGCAAAGAGAGGACCUUACAUGGUCCGUUUUGUAAGUAAUAAAGGGUUGAGUUGAUCCCGUGGCGAGCGCCGGGGGGAAGGGUGAGAGGUCAGUCGCUGGAAAAGGAGAUGCCCUUUCCCAUUUAGUUAGCUUCAUUUUUUUUCAGUAUUUUGUUUGUUUUUGGAAGAAUUUGGUUGUCCGGGAGCACCGCCACCGUGAGUUGCGAUGUGGAUCCGACGGACGGAAUCCGAUAGCGCACGGUGCGAUAGCCCACCAACCAAUCAUUUUGAUUUAUCUAACCCAACCAACAGAAAAAUUCUAAGCAUCGGCCGCUAUGAGUGGUGGUGGGCUAUCGGUCCCGUUCGUUAUCGGGAUCCGCCUAAAUCCGACCCUCGCAAGUGCAGAGCGGGUCCCCCGCACCGGGGCAACUCCCGUAUUUGGAGUUUUGCAAUAAGACGAAACCGUCAGCCGGACGCGGUUUAUGGACACCCCGUUAGCUAGUCGUUUACGAGUUAAAGGCGACUAGACCUUGAACCCUCGUGGAGCUUGUGUACGAAGAACGGAAAACGAGAUUGGUGGCUAUUGACGCUCGUCAAUAGCCAAGAUAUCCUCGGUCCUCCCCGGGGAAGGGGGAGUUGUGACGGUGCAACUUGCGUUCGUUGUCCGUCACAAAGGCCGUAUGGCCUGACUCGGCGGGUCCCGACAGCGUACAUCCCGAUAGCACACAAACCACUCACAAUGGCAGAUGCCUAGAGAUUUUCCGUAGGUUGGGUUAAAUAAGUCAAGAUGAUUGGUUGGUGGGCUAACGGAAUGUGCGCUAUCGGAACCCUCCCGGCCUAACCGCGACACGGAUACUGCGUCUUUCUGGCUCGGGGGCAGGCGCGAUUGUUUAAAUGUGUGUGUUUGUCUCUGUGCCGUCCCUGCGGCCGCUAUUAAACUCAAGUAAGCAGUAGGUCCGCCGAGGAAAGCCGGUGACUGCGAAAAAACAUCUUGUACGGGUAAAACGUCUCGUCCAUCCAGAGGCACCGAGAAGGAAGCAAGAAUCCAGGAACAUUGCCGAAGGAUUUACAGGGCACCCCGAGACGCAGGGGCUCGAACGGCAGAGUUACAAUUCCGCAGGCGGAAGUUGCGCGAAACUAAAAGGCAAAAACGAGAACGAGGAGAUAACUAGAACCGGGCAGGUGAGGCGUUACGGGCCUGAGGCGGCGGUCAUCUGCUACUGAAGACAAGGCCAGCCGAUAUCAGUUCCCGGGGACGCCAAACGUUGCAAACGAGAAUUAACUGCCGAAUGUGGGCUUCGCGCGCUAUCGACGUCAGAAGCGCGGAACGAUAGAAUAAUGCGCACACCGCCAGGAUCUAGCCGCCUAACAGCCAAUACAGAAGCGGCCGCGGCGAUAAGUGGGGCGCGACACCGCGGGCCUCCGGCAGGAUCGAAGAUCGAGGCUCACUUGUGCUGUGAACGUGCUCCGAGCCAGAGACUGGUGCCGAGGACUCAAAAGCCAAACUUUCGGAGAAGACGCAGAGAGAAGUUCCGUGCCGCGCCAAAGGGUGAGACGAGCGUCAAAACGAAUUGUAAAGUCACCGAUUACGCGAUCAAAGACGGGUGACGUCGCGACUGACCGAAUUAAGUAGAGUCCACUCCGUACUGUCUCGUAUUUGCGUGUAAUAUUGUAAACGUAGCCGUUGCUACAGCCGCGACGUUGCUCGCUCGAUCCCGCCGUAUUAACGCAGUUUUUUUAGUUUCGGCAUCCGCGCCUGUAUAGCCACAGCCAAGCUGUCGUUGUAUCGUGAGUUCGUGUAAUUGUGCAUGUGUGAGUUUUGUCUGAUUCCGCGGGUUGAACGUAGCUUAAUUACGGUAGUAGCGGUGAGAGAAAUCGCGAGAUCUUUCGGCUAGCGUGUGCAUGACUCGCUUCGCGAAAUUCCGCCUUGAUGUGUGCACUUUCUCCCGCGGCGACCGCCUUGCCGAGGCGAUUGAAUCGUUACGCCGUGCGCUACCGUCCGAUUACUGAGCCGCUUCGAGUAACAUUCCGCCAUUCUGUAACGCAUUCCGCACGCAGGUAAACCGCGUGCAAGGUUUUGUAUUCCACUAUCCCGAGGAUUUCAAAUAUACGUUGUUAUUCUCUUUGUUAA
rnacentral:lncRNA from 13 species